UGUUUCCCAGCAUUAUGCAAAUAUCUACGUUGAACAUCUCCAGGGAGAGAGCCUGCCAACGUUGCAAUUAAGGGCGGAACGCUGUGAAACAUAUAUCACCUUGUCGCACACAAGUGGACAUCAUGAUUCCAAAUAGUGCCUUGACUCAUCUGCAGCACAGUGCUCGGACGGCGUCUACAAGGGGACACAUGGCACCUUGUGAUCGGACAUCCUUCUUGUAUUACGAAGCACCGCCCCACAAGACGUCACAGCCAGAUUGGAUUCCCGUUGAAUGCUACGUCCCAAGGUGGAAACUUUAUCUGUGCACGCAAAGGAAGAUACUGCACGUGGUCACAGGACUCGGACACAAUGUUGACCUCAGCUACAUGGAAGGCGCCGCUAAUUAGCGCAGCCGCGUGCACGUCUUUGAUAUGUGGAGUGUUUCUGAGGAGG